CCUACGGGUGGCAGCAGUCGAGAAUCAUUCACAAUGGGGGAAACCCUGAUGGUGCGACGCCGCGUGGGGGAAUGAAGGUUUUCGGAUUGAAAACUCUUUUCAUGUGGGAGCACAUGAAAAAGAUAGUACCACAAGAGCGAGAGAUGGCUAACUCUGUGCCACCAGGCGCGGUAAUACAGAGGUGUCAAGCGUGGUUCGGAAUCACUGGGCGUAAAGGGUGCGUAGGCUGUUAAGUAAGUCGUAUGUGAAAGGCGCGGGCUCAACCCGCGGACGGCAAAUGAGACUGCUAGACUGGAGUGAAGGAGAGGAAACCGGAAUUCCCGGUGUAGCAGUGAAAUGCGUAGAUAUAGGGAGGAACACUCGUGGCGAAGGCGGAUUCCUGGACGUUAACUGACGGUGAGGCGCGAAAGCGUGGGGAGCGAACAGGAUUAGAUACCCUAGUAGUC
rnacentral:rRNA from 1 species